UGUAUCCUAUGGGUAUCUGCACUCAUGCUAGUAUGUUCAAGGGACAGUGCAAUAGAAAUUCACUAUCUGGCAUUGUAGGCUUUGUUCUCCGCUUUGUAGAUUUUUUGGCUUUGUGUGCUUGUUAAACCUGGUAUUUCCAUUGAUGCUGUU
ensembl:snoRNA small nucleolar RNA SNORA8